GACGAACGUUGGCGGCGUGCUUAAUACAUGCCAGUCAACUGAAGCAGUGGUAGCAAUAUCGCUGUGGAGGUGGCGCACGGGUGAGUAACACGUAGGUAAUCUGCCUUCAGGUCUGGCAUAACUCCGGGAAACCGGGGCUAAUAGCAGAUGAUGCAGCGGCUCGACAUCGAGACAGUUGUUAAAGCUAUGGCGCCUGAAGAUGAGCCUGCGUCUGAUUAGCUAGUUGGCGGGGUAACGGCCCACCAAGGCAACGAUCAGUAGCUGGUCUGAGAGGAUGAUCAGCCACACUGGAACUGAGACACGGCCCAGACUCAUACGGGGGGCAGCAGUAAGGAAUAUUGCUCAAUGGGAGAAAUCCUGAAGCAGCAACGCCGCGUGAGGGACGAAGGGCUUUUGCUUGUAAACCUCUGUAGUGAGAGAAAAAAAUCCCAAUCUUUGGGACAUGAUGGUAUCUCAAAAGUAAGCCCCGGCUAACUACGUG
rnacentral:rRNA from 1 species